GUUGAUUGGUUCAGUCUGGGAUGUGGGAGGAAGCUUUAUGAUGAAAUCACUUUCUGGGAGAAUCUCAGGAAAGCCUAAAGAAAAUCAAAUCAAAAUAAAAUGUGGGGUCCUUUUCUUUUUCCUUCCUUUUUUUUUCUUCCAGACACAGACUUUUGUUGCAGAUGCAAGCAAGAUAGUCCAGGAAAACACCUCCAGGUCCUGGUCUCAGCUCAGUCCACUGUGGCUGGAUUCUGCCGGUGGUAAAGAAAUCACCUCCCGACUCAUUAGACAGCUGGAAACUACGCCCUAUAGUGUCCAGGCUUGUGAUGGCUUCGGAGUGUGUGAAAGCUCCUGUUACCGGCGCUGACAGGAGAGCUUGUUCUCCCCCGGGAAUCCGGAAGGCAACGAGGCUCUUCAUCCAUCACGCUGACGCACAAGGAGUGAGGAUCCCUCCAGCAGCCUUGGCCCAGUUCCUCGCACGCAAGCUGCAGAGCGAUGAGAUGUUGCUGUUUGCACCGGCACCUCUCCAAGGGCUUCACAGCUGCUCAGGAAAUCAGCCCCUGACUUAUCUCCCCUCUAUUUACCCACCUGUCAGAGCACGAGGAGCUGCAGGCCUUUCCUCCCGAGACCGUUAGCUGAGCAAGGUUGCUUCCUGCCCUUCCCUAUACCCGCAGCACCUUUCCAUAGGGGCAGACCCAGACACAGGCAUGGGUGAAUUAGGCAGCCACCCAGGGCCUGGACACAAAAAGGGUCUGAAAAUGGUAACUUUUUUUUCCCCUGUUGUCCAAUUAUUAUUAUCAUCAUCUCUAGCAAAGGGGGGCCGGAUACUAAAAGUUCACCCGGGGCCACCAGGAGUCUAGGUACAAUGCUGCAUAAGGGCUGUAACCAGAGGGAGGUUCAGACCACAUCACGGGCAGUGAAUUGGGGAUGCUCUAUUUCUAGCCCUCCAUCCUCCUGGCCCUGCUCCCAGGUCUUCAUUGGUCAGAAGGGCUUUUAAGAGAGCUUUUACUGCCUUGAGGCCAAGAGGGUCCUCCUCCCCUUCCCCCUUAAACCCAUUCUCCAAUUUUGCACCCAACCCGAACGGCAGGUGCAAAGCACCGGUAUCAAACCACCCGCGUGCUGACGGGAAUCAGAUCACCAGGCAUCUAGAAGCGACCGGCUGCAGUGGCCACACCUCAAUGUGCACUUGCCAAACCAACAUCGGGGUGGGAUUUGAUUCGAUUUUGCAAGUCAGGCCUUGAAAAUGCGACGCCGGCAUUGCUAUUCUUUUGUAAUUGCAUGAAAGCGAGGCGCCGCGGUGAUUUUUUUUUAAUGACGUUUCACAGGCGAUCGCUCGGUUUGAAAUUCACGGUGCCUUACCUUUGAUCCAGCCUCCGACAAACAUGUGGAAUACAGCGAUUUUUAUCCCCUGCGGGUUGUAUUUCUGUUCUUUCUCCCUCUCUCUCCCCUCCCCGCCCUCCCUCGCUGCUGCUUCUUGGAAUAAACUUGAUGUCUUAUCUCCCUGAAAAAUCUUCCAGCCAACUGGGGACACAGCCAACCAGAACCCAUUAGCGCCAUGCUACACAUUCUCAGCACCAUGAAAAUCUGCUGCCAUUUUAAAUAUAGCCUCUAUUUAUUUCAGUCAGCAGCAUGUCCUUUUGCUGUCAAGGAGACAAAUUAUGCCAGCCCUGUUGCAGAGCUCACAAUAUGAGGGAGAAAAGGCUUUGGGAACAAUUAUGCCAAACUGUGGAACACAUCUACCUACUGAGCUCCAGACUAAUACUAACAGAUAGCCUGGAGCAAGUCAAAAUUUCAGCCAAAUUCUAACCUUUCCUAAGGGAGUCCUUUUAUUAAUUCAUUGCAGAACAAAGCAUCUGGGCCAGCCCCGAAGCUGCGUUUCUAAACAUGCCUCUUUCUAAAAGGCUUAGCAUGACGGGAUUGUUUUCAUGUCUGAUUAUCAGUGUGGAGGGAUGUGGUGGGGUUUUGUUGGGGUUUUUUUUUUUUUGGCUCAGGAUAGACCCAAUACAGAAUUGCAAUUUAGCCCCUUUGUUAGCAACUUCCACGUGGCUGGAUUAAUUUAAUUCCUUCUGAUGUUCAACACGGCAAAGACAGUGCUAGAGGAAAGGGUAGGAGGGAGCUUUGCAUUAAAAAGCCUGCCUGGACUUUUGCAUUUAGGGAUGCCAAAUACUUAUUAAACAUCUUUAUUAAUCAA